UGUAUAUUAAUUAUUUAUUUUCAUUUUACUUAAAAUAUAUGUUUUUGUUAAGUUAACAUAUGUUUUUCUAAUCAAGUCUACGUAAUUGUGUCUAUUAUUCACUUUACAUAAUACUAAUGUGUUACUUGAUGGCAUAACAUUUAAGUCAAUUAGGAUCGAUAUACUUUGUAUAUCCACAAGGUGGCAGUAAUGCAAAAACAGUUGUAAUGAAACCGCGAAGAACAACAAGGUUUCACGGCUUGGGCCUGCUCAUGCGCAAGACUUCAAAUUUAACUUAAAAACGUUGUUUUGGCGCCAAGCUGCUGUUUCUUUGAGAGAUCUGAACCAUUGUAAAAGUUGCAGUUCAAGGGCCUGAGGUGGAAGCAGAAUUUGUGAGGAUUACUACUGCUCCACUUGUUCCAAGGCUUUUUGCACAACUUGACCAAUACACUGACCAGCUCAUAAAAGUCUUCAAGAAAAAAGGAGGCGCUGCAGUGAAGAAAAUUAGACAAAUUUUGGCCCCAGCCACACAGAAGGAAACUAUUGAAAAGGGGAGGGAGUGUGUCCUCAGGGCACUACCUUUUUACCUGAAUGAAGACCCAAGCAUCCUCUUCAAAGAAUAAUUGCUACAGCUACAGCUGUUCAGAGGGAGCUGGAACAAAUUACCCUUGCUAUCUUCACCAUCGAAAAAGCUGAUGUCAGCACUCCUCCAGUCGAUGUGGGUAUAACCAUCUAGGGUGUUCUGCAUGACCUGGAAAACAUGGCCUCUGCAUGUGCACUCUUAAUGGAUGGGAUAUAUGCACUGAAUCGCAGUUAACCUCGAGACUGAAAGCUUUCUUUGAAGUACUUCAGAAGCUCUUCCUUCAUCUGUAUGUCAGCAGACUCUUGACCAAGGUACAGAUACUCAAGAAUAAACUGAAUGAAUAUGCCAACCCUUAAUUUGGAUGAUGAAUGUUCUGUCAGAUGGACAGAAGUUUUUCAGAGGCUGAAUGGGAAUAAAAUGGUAAUUUGUUGAAAAUGACAGAUAAAGGGAAAAUUACAUUUAAGAAAAAUUUUGAAAAGUUUGUAAACUACUACAAUUUGAGAGAUUUUACUCUUGUGGGGGAAGGGGGGGCUAGUAAGAGACAAUCAAAAGUAUUGAGAUUUAAAGGAUUUAAUUGAGAGAUGAUACUGCACCAGAAAUGUUGAAGGGUGGUGUGUAUAUUAGCAUAUUGUUAUGAGGUGGAAAUAUGUUCAUAUUCUGUUUGUGUUACAUUGUGUGCAUUGUAAAGGUAAUUGCAAUACAUGCUAAGAAUAAGGGUAAGUUAGGAAUGCAGGAUGAAUGUAUAUUUUGCGGGCUUUUAAAGACGAACAAUUGUUUCCAUGUUAAAAUGUUUACAACCCAAGGUUUUUGCCCAAACACUGGUAAAAUAAACGUUGAGGGUGGCAAGUGUUAAAUGGUUACUGCUGUGCUGUUGCAAAAAAACUGAACGCUGACAAGCUGUUUUAUUGUUAGAUCAUAAUGCUGGCAUGCUUUAUUUAAGUUUUAUUUGGGAUGGUGAUAUAAUUUUCUUUGAUUGCUAAUAUCAGUGGACUAUUUAUUAUUAUUAUUAUUAUUAUUGUUAUUACAACAUUAAUUUUUUAAAAUUGUGGCUGUUGAGGUGGACACUUCACUUUGCAUUGUUAAAGGAAAGCACUUCAUUGGCGUUGUGUUACUGGACUGACCCUAAGCAAUCAUUGCAAAUAGCAACUUUGCUAUCCAUUUUAGACACUAAAAGAAAAAACACUCCACAGACCUUACUAGCAUCACAUGUGCAUAACUCAAGUGUCCUCUUAUCAACAUGUUAUGUGGUCUUCAAUGUUUUUUUUCUUCUAUUUCUGGCAGAUACAGACAUUUAAUUUAAAGUCUUGAUGUUGCAUCUGUCUACAUACUGUUAGUUACUAACCCUAAUGACCUGUCGUGUUUUAUUUUGGACUGGGUUUACACAAAUGCUCACUGAAUGUGUUGGCAAUAAAAGAAAUUUUAAAAAAUAA